ensembl:lncRNA
CAAGUUUGUACCAGGUACAAUGCAGAGGACUUGGGGGGUGGGGAAGGAAGAAGCAAGCAAGGCUGGGGGUGGGUGGAUAGAGAGGAGAAAAGGAGAUCAAAAGGUCUAUAAAUAUCUGUCAAACUUUAAAAUGCAAAUCCCUUGUCUGUGACCCUGUUGGGACCAAAUCUUCCAUUAUCACCUUUCCAGGAAGAGCUUGAGAGACAAAAAGCUUAAGCAGAGUCUUUCCCUUCAUGGUGUGUUUUGGUUUGGUUUGGCAUGAUUUGGGGCCAAGCCUGGAUGUCAUUCGACUCAGACCUGAAAGCAUAAGCAUGGUUUUCUUUGUGGACAGGCUGUGAGUUCCUCAAGGAAACUGUCUAACUCUUAAUAUAUCCCCUGCAAUUUGCAUAGAGUAUCUGCCUGUUCAAUGAAUGAGAUGGAUGGAUGGAUGAACAGAUGGAAUUAAUUCUGAGCAUAGUAAGUCAGCUUCACCAGCUGGUGACCUAGUCCUCAGGCAUCUCCUUAUCUUCACUUCACUGGGAGCUGUGGUUGGAGGUUGGCGGUUGGCAGAGUCCCCUCGCAGGGACAGUCUUCAUGAAGGGCAGCUGUUGCCUUCUGAGAAACACUUGGAUAGCAUCUGCCAACGACCAGGGCUCUGUGCAGCCCGCACACGGGGAAUACGUGGUACUACAGGGCAGCUUUGUCCUCCCUGUUUCCCAGAGAAGUGGCUUCCUCAUAUGAGUCCCUGUUGAUGAUUGAUUUCUGGAGAAAGUAUGGAAUUCCAGGUGGAUCUUACAGAGGAGACCUUGAAGGGAUGUCGACCUGGUUGUACCGAAGCCUUUGACACCUCCCAUAGAACUAUCCCAGCUGUGAAGUCAUGGGGCCUUCACAGGGCCUGGACGAGAGACGACUGUGUUUGGACAACCCUGAGAAAUAAGCCUUCUGGCAUCUGGUGUCCACAGAGUCAGCAUUCUCAAUUUAAUAAAAAUGUAAAUGAUUUAAGCAAUAAUAAUUACCUUGGAGCUGUUACUGCUACCAGGAUUGGUUUAAAUGAAAACAAGACAGAGCCAAAGGAUUUGUAGUCUACCUUUACAUGGAUGGUAAAUAAAUCACUCUUUCUCAUUUUCA